rnacentral:tRNA from 1 species
GGGUCGUUCGUCUAACGGUAUGACACCGGACUUUUAAUCCGGCGCAAAUUGCAUUGGGAGUUCGAUUCUCCCACGACCCACCA